rnacentral:rRNA from 1 species
GGACUACUCGGGUAUCUAAUCCUGUUUGCUCCCCUUGCUCUCGCGCCUCAGCGUCAGGUAUAAGCUAGAGAACCGCUUUCGCCACCGGUGUUCUUCCACAUAUCUACGCAUUUCACCGCUACACGUGGAAUUCCGUUCUCUCCGCCAAUCCUCGAGAUUAAUAGUUUCAAAUGCAGCUUCGAAGUUGAGCCUCGAAAUUUCACAUCUGACUUAUUUAUCCGCCUACGCGCCCUUUACGCCCAAUAAUUCCGAUUAAUGCUUGCACCCUCCGUAUUACCGCGGCUGCUGGCAC